CGCAUGCCCGAAGGGUGACAAUGCGACGCCGCGUGAGCGAUGAAGGCCUUCGGGUUGUAAAGCUCUGUCAGCAGGGAUGAAAACAAAGAGGUCAAUACCCUUUUUGUCUGACGGUACCUGCAGAGGAAGCUUCGGCUAACUCCGUGCCAGCAGCCGCGGUAAUACGGAGGAAGCAAGCGUUGUUCGGAUUUACUGGGUGUAAAGGUCAUGUAGGCGUCCCACUAAGUCGGGUGUGAAAUCCCUUAGCUCAACUAAGGAACUGCACUCGAUACUGGCGGGAUUGAGUACUUGAGAGGUAAGCGGAAUUCCGGAAGUAUGGGUGAAAUCAGUAGAUAUCCGGAAGAACACCAUUAGCGAAGGCGGCUUACUGGCAAGAUACUGACGCUGAAAUGAGAAAGCUAGGGUAGCAAACAGGAUUAGAUACCCUGGUAGUCCUAGCUGUAAACGAUGGGCACUAAGUAGAGGGG
rnacentral:rRNA from 1 species